rnacentral:rRNA from 1 species
GUCCACGCCCUAAACGAUGCGAACUGGACGUUGGAUUCAAUUAGGAAUUCAGUGUCGAAGCUAACGCGUUAAGUUCGCCGCCUGGGGAGUACGGUCGCAAGACUGAAACUCAAAGGAAUUGACGGGGGCCCCGCACAAGCGGUGGAGUAUGUGGUUUAAUUCGAUGCAACGCGCAGAACCUUACCUGGUCUUGACAUCCACGGAAUCCUUUAGAGAUAGAGGAGUGCCUUCGGGAACCGUGAGACAGGUGCUGCAUGGCUGUCGU